GGGGUGGCACUUGGGGACACCUGGAUGGGAUUUGGUGGCAGCUUGGGAGCACUUUGGGGACACCUCAGGUGGCAUCUGGGAGCUCUUGGUGGCACCUUGGGACACCUGGGGACACUUUGGGCACAAUUGGAUGGCACUUGGGGACACCUGGAGGCAUCUGGGGACACUUUGGGGACACCUGGAUGGGAUUUGGUGACACUGGGUUGGCAUUUGGUGGCACCUUGGGGACACUUGGGUGGCACCUUGGGACACCUGGAUGGCACCUGGGGACACUUUGGGGACGCUUGGAUGGCACUUGAGGAUGUCUAGGUGGCACUUGGGGACAUCUGGAUGGCAUCUGGGGACACCUUGGGGACACUUUAGGGACACCUUGGGGACAUUGGGGUGGCACCUGCGGGCUCCUGGUGGCACCUGGGGACUCUUGGGGACAACUGGGGACACUUGGAUGGCAGCUGGGGACCUUGGGGACACUCUGGGGACCUUGGGGGCACUUUGGGGACCUUGGGGGCACUUUGGGGACACCUGGUGGUGGGGACACCUGGAUGGCACCUGGGUGUCGCCUCAUUGUCUCUUGUCAUCUGUUUGUCCUGAUUGCCACCUCUUUGUCACCUGUUUGUCACCUCACUGCCACCUGUUUGUCCCCUCAUUGUCCCCUUGCUCUCGCGUGUUUGUCCCCUCAUUAUCACCUGUUUGUCACCUGAUUGUCACCUGUUUGUCCACUCAUUGUCACCUGUUUGUCACCUUGUUCUCACCCAUUUCUCACCUGUUUGUCCCCUCAUUGUCUCCUCAUUGUCCCCUGUUUGUCACCUGGUUCUCACCCAAUUGUCACCUGUUUGUGCCCUCCUUGUCCCCUCAUUGUCCCCUGGUUCUCACCUGUUUGUCCCCUCAUUGUCCCCCGUUUCUCACCUGUUUGUCCCCUCAUUGUCCCCUGUUUCUCACCUCAUUGUCCCCUGUCUGUCCCCUGUUUGUCCCAUCAUUGUCCCCCGUUUCUCACCUGUUUGUCCCCUCAUUGUCCCCUGUUUCUCACCUCAUUGUCCCCUGUCUGUCCCCUGUUUGUCCCCUCAUUGUCUCCAGUUUCUCACCUNCAGACCCAAAUUUUAGAGCCUUCAAAGACCCCAGACCCAAUUGAGGAUCUCUCAGAUCUCUGAUUUCUCAUGGGUUAUACUGGGAGAAAAAGGGUUGAGACCCCUCCCUAAAUUAGGGACAGACCCUCGAGACCCCAGACCCAAAUUCCAGAUCUCUCCCAGGACCCCAGACCCAAAUUUGGUCCCUCCCCUGAGCCCCCAGACCCAAAUUUGGUCCCUCCCAGAGACCCCAGACCCAAUUUGGGACCUGUCAGUUCUCUCCUUUCUCCUGGGGUGUAUUGGUAGAAAAGGUGCUGAGACCCUUCCCCAAAUUAGGAAGAAAGCCUCUGAGACCCCUCCCCAAAUUCCCUGAGACCCCAGACCCAAAUUUGGUCCCUCCCUGAGACCCCAGACCCAAUUUGGGACCCCCUCAAGUGAAAUGGGGACCUCGCAGAUCUCUCCUUUCUCCUGGAGUAUUUUGGGACAAGCACCCAUGAGACCCCUCCCCAAAUUUGGGACAGACGCUCAAGACCCCAGACCCAAAUUUGGUCCCUUCCAGAGACCCCAGACCCACUUUAGGAUCUCUCAGAUCUCUCCUUUCUGCUGACUCAUAUUGGGAUAAAAUGCAGUGAGACCCCUCCCCAAAUUCGGGAUACACCCCUGAGACCCCAGACCCAAAUUCCAGACUCCUCCCAGGACCCCAAACCCAAAUUUGGGACCCCUCAGAGCCCCCAGACCCAAUACCUUUCCCCAUUCCCCUCCACUUUUCCCACUGCCAUUUCCCACCACCCUCCCUUUAAUCCCCAAUUAAUUAACCACACUCUUCUAGAGACCCCAGACCCAAAUUUGGUCCCUCCCUGAGACCCCAGACCCAAUUUGGGACCUGUCAGAUCUCUCCUUUCUAUUGCAGUAUAUUGGGACAAGCAGCCAUGAGACCCCUCCCCAAAUUCACUAUACACCCUCAAGACCCCAGACCCAAACUCUCACCCCAAUUCCAGACUCUCCCAGAGCCCCCAGACCCAAUUCCUUCCCCCAUUCCCC
ensembl:lncRNA